GGUAAGCUUGCUCAGUUGGUAGAGCAUGAGACUCUUAAUCUCAGUGUCAUGGGUUCAAGACUUAUAUUAAGGAAAGUGAUUCCU